GCAAAGCCUGUAGUAUUAAGUGGAAAUGGUCUUUGACAGGGAGACUUUGAUAGAAGACGGCUGCUGCUCCCUCUCCAGAGCCCUGCACUAUCCCAUCUGUCCCCAGGGACUUUCCUCCUCAAUAUCUUCAGAAAGAGUCAACCUUUCUGCAGUUAAUGAUGUCCUAAGGGUCCUGGGAAAUCACUUCAUCACAGUCGUAAUGGAGUCUUUGGGAUGAUUUCCAGCAGUGGCCAGCUGUGAGCACCCUAGCAAGCUUUGCCGAAGAAGCACUUCCCAGUCAGGCUGGGCCACGUCUUGAUCUUACUCCUCCAAUUAGAAGCCACGAGGGGAGAUACGGCAGAUCUGGAAGAAGACAAGCAACACGACCGUCUGCUGAAGGAUGUGUUCCAUUUAAACAAGAGAUGACUGGGGAGACCAUACCAGACAGAGAUGACUGAUGCUUUCCCCAGGUAUCCACGCUUGCCAAGCCUAUUCAGAAAAGUACUUCAGCAUUCCUGGACUCGUGGUGAACAAGCGGAGCCUCAUUCCCUGUGAUCAUAUAAAAAAGAUGCUUUCAUUUGCUGAACAGCGUGAUGUAGGAUUGUAUCAACCACUGGGCUUCUCAG